rnacentral:tRNA from 1 species
UCCCUGGUGGUCGAGUGGUCAAGACUCUGCCUGCCAUUGCGGGGGACACAGGUUCCAUCCCUGGCCUGGGAA